ACCCCCGCUAAGGGGCAGGAGGAAGCCCAGCACCCCACAGGGAUGGCAUGGGGAGGGGCAGCCACUGCCUUGCAAGGGGGCAUCAGACUGGACUGCUGAGAGGCCCUGCCCUGGGCGGCCCCUGUGCCCAUCUGAGGAGCCCCCAGGACUGUGCCCGCCUGGUGCUGCCAUGCCCCUCAGGGCCUGGAGGCACCAGGAGUCCCGCAGCAAAGAUGUGCUCCUGGUGAUGCGGCCCAGCGGCCACGUGCCCCUGCACCUGUGGGCAGGUGCCCUCCGUGGCCAGUCCAGCCUCAGCAAGGCCCGUAGAGCAGUGCUGGAGGGGGGAUGAGACAGGGCUGGGGACCACCGGGGCCCUGCUGGGUAUAGGCUGCUUCUCUCAGGGAGUGGACGCGGAGGGGCCCUCGUGAGUCCUUGGUCCUGGCAGGUGACCUCACAAGCGGCUGGGGCUGGUCCACCCUCUCUCCUUCACUCCCGCGCCAACUGUUCCUGGGUGGUGCUUGGGGCAUCCCAUCCACUUCUGCUCCUCAGCAGCAUCGGCCAGAAGAGAGGAGGCCCCUGGGAAUCAGUCCCACCCCAGGACCUGCUUCCUGGGGUGAAGGUCCCUUUUCGCUCCGCCUUGCAGGACUCAGCCUUUUCCACCUGUGGGCAUGACCUUCACGACCCAAGACGGGCCAAGGAUGUGCCCUGCCCUCCCCACCCGCCUUCCCAGCAAGCCUGCACAUCCUGGGGAGGGCCGCCUCUGAGACCCCCGCCUGCCACUCCCCGGGCCCAUGGAGGGAGCCGAGGUGGGUGGCAUCCCCUCUGGUCCAGUAGAACCAUCCAGAACCCUGGCCAUGCCACAUCUUUAUGAGGAGAGUUUCUUCCUUCUCUCAAGGUGUCCGGCUCCUGCCAGCCCCGCCCUGUGGUCCAAACCAGCCCCUGGGCAGGUAUAGCCAUGUCCCUGGAUGCUUUGAGGCCCAGCCCCUUCCAGGCUGUGGCCAGGAGGGUAGGGGGGUGGGUCAAGCAGUUUCUGCUGCCCCCGGGACAGGGACCCACCUCUUCAUUCCUUGGGGCUGGCCACGGCUGCAGCCUCCUCUAGACAUCCCAAGGCCUCAGCUGGCAGGGCACCCACGGCCAGCGCUGGGCCUCUGUGCGCAGGGGCUGGCAUCGCCAGGAUCAGCAGCGUCACAGAGCAGACGCCACCCUGACAGCCAGGAGAGCCUUCGGGGCCCUGCAUCCUGUCACCGCCAGGCACCAGACUUCGUAGACUGGGGAAAAACAACACACCAACAGUGAACAUCGGGAAAGGAAAUCUGGCCGAUUCUAUUCACAACAGCAUCAAAAAGAAAAAAAUACCCAGCAACAAAUUUAAAAAAGGAGGUGAAAGACCUGGACACCCACUGCAAAUGUAGCUGAAAGUAAUCAGAGAAGACCUAUAAACAGAGACGGGAAAUCAUCUUCCAACAAGUGGUGCCGGGACAGCCGGACUCUGACCUCACACCAUAUAUGGAAACAAACUCGAAAUGGGUCAACAACCUCAAUCUAAGAGCUAGAAACUAAGCAGAAACUAUAGAACUCCUAGAAAGAACUACAAGGGAAAAUCUUCCUCACCUUGAGCUUGGUAGUGGAGUUGAGAUGUGACACCUGAAGUGCAUCCGUUAGGAAAAAAGAGAGCAAAUUGGACUUUGUAAAAAUGAAGUACUUUUGUGCCUCCAAAGAUGUUAUCCAGAAUACGAAAAAGACGAUCUACAGAAGAAAUUGCCAGAGAAAAUACUUGCAAAUGACACGGCUGAUAGGGGUUUAAUAUCCAAGACAUAUAAAGAGCUCCUCAAACACAGCCACCCAAAGACAACCGGAUUCAGAAAUGGGCAAAGGACCCAAACAGACGUUUCUUCAAAGAUGUUCAAAUGGCCAGUGAGCCCAUGAAAAGAUGCUUGGCGUCAGUAGUCACCAGGGAGGCGCGGACCACAACACAGUGCAAGGCCCCUUCACGCCGCCUGGGGUGGCAGGAGCCGAAACAAAGAGCGUGUCAGCCAGGACGCAGUCCUCGUUGCCCAGGGGCGUGGAGAGCAGCCCAGCCGCCCCGCCAACGGCUGAGCGCGGAGUGACCCGCGAUUCCGCUCCUGAGGUACACCCGAGAAGCUGCGUCCACCAGAAAUCACACGUGAGCUUUCCCAGCAGCGCUGCUCACACAACCCAGAGGUGGAAACAGCCCCAAGGCCCGUGAGCGGACGGUGGGCGAGCAGUGUGGCCUGUCCACACAGCAGAGGGGAUCCACCUCGAGGAGGCUCAGAGGCUCCGAGCGGAUGGACGUGGAAGCACGCUGAGUCAAAGAGACCAGACAGAGGCCGCAGGGCACCCCACUGCCUCUUUACUGCGUGUCCUGCGCUGGUAACUCCAAGAAACAGGCAGGAGACGAGGGCCGGAGGAGGGGAGCGGUCACCUAAUGGUGAAGGGCUGCGUGCUGCAGUGCUAGACUGUUCUGGAACUGGAUGGGGCAGGGGCUGCACAGCACAGUGAAUGCACUGAUGCCUCAGGGCUGUUCAUGUUGGGAUCGCCAGUUGUUUGUGAACUUCCCUCAAUUAAAAAAUGGCAAAAAGCCGAAGUGACCCUGAGGACCAUGGCCCAGGCUUUAACUGGGGCUCAGCUUAUGGGAAACAGCAUCUCUGAGUCCGUGGGGAUGCAGAACUCCACAGGCACAAUAAGGCCAGCACUCAGAGGAUGCGAAGGGCCCAGAGAUUCAGAGGGGACAGCCACGCCGGGCAGCCCCUGCCGCCAGGCACCCCCAUCACCAGCUCUGAAGGAAGCUGCCUAGCGAUCGGGAUGGGAGCCCCACCACCACCAGCCAGCCUGGGAGAGGGUCCGGGCCCACAGCACCAGCACUUCCUGGGCUCGUCAGAGCUUUCAGUCUUCCAGAUGUUCCUCGGCUCAUCCAGCAUUCUCUGCCGUUUCUGUCACUGCCUCCUUAGUCCGACCCUCAGGACCUGGCCAGGACACUGACGUGGCACCCCCUGCCCAUGUGUGAAAGCUGCCCAUGCCCCCAGGCCAGCCCCCAGCGCGCCCUCCCCAGCUGGGCUGCCUGCUUCUGGGGUGAACCUGGUAGUUCCAGAAGUCAUUCCAGAUGACAGAUGGGAGGGGGAGAGCCAGGUCAGGUACCAGAGGUGCGGCGCUCGUGGUGGUGUGUGGGCUGAACUGGGAGCCCGUCCGUCAGCUGCUUGCCCAGCUCCCGGACCUCUGCACAGAUUGUCUGGACACAGGGUCUUUAUAGAGGCCAUCGGGGUAAAGGGAGUCAUUAGGGCCCUGAUCCAGUAUGUCCAGUGUUAGGAAAAGGGGAAAUGUGACGGGGACAUGCGCACACAGAGGCCACGCGAAGCUGGAGGGCAGCCAGCCUAGAAGCUCCAGCCUAGCCUGUGAGGUAGGGGUUUUCCAACAUGUGAGCCGCACAGCCCAGCAGCCGGGCGCAGUCAGCGAGAACGGGCAGGUCGGGGAGGCUGCUUCCUGGACUGUCAGCAGGAGCUGCUUCCCGAACGCCAGGCUCUG